GGGCGAGUGAAGCGGCAACAGCUCAAAUUUGAAAUCUGGCCCUUUUGGGGUCCGAGUUGUAAUUUGUAGAGGGUGCUUUGGCGUCGGCCUCGGCCUAAGUGCCUUGGAACAGGACGUCACAGAGGGUGAGAACCCCGUAUGUGGCCGGUGGUCUUCGCCGUGUAAAGCCCCUUCGACGAGUCGAGUUGUUUGGGAAUGCAGCUCUAAAUGGGAGGUAAAUUUCUUCUAAAGCUAAAUACUGGCCAGAGACCGAUAGCGCACAAGUAGAGUGAUCGAAAGAUGAAAAGCACUUUGGAAAGAGAGUCAAAAAGCACGUGAAAUUGUUGAAAGGGAAGCGCUUGCAGCCAGACUUGCCUACAGUUGCUCAUCCGGGACAACGCCCGGUGCACUCUUCUGUUGGCAGGCCAGCAUCAGUCCAGGCGGUCGGAUAAAGGCCUCGGGAAUGUGGCUCUCUUCGGGGAGUGUUAUAGCCCGGGGUGCAAUGCGGCCAGCUUGGACUGAGGUCCGCGCAUCUGCUAGGAUGCUGGCGUAAUGGCUGUAAGCGGCCCGUCUUGAAACACGGACCAAGGAGUCUAACAUCUAUGCGAGUGUUUGGGUGUCAAGCCCGGGCGCGCMAUGAAAGUGAACGGAGGKGGGARCCCCUCGGGGCGCACCAYCGACCGAUCCUKAUGUCUUCGGAUGGAUUUGAGUAAGAGCAUAGCUGUUGGGACCCGAAAGAUGGUGAACUAUGCCUGAAUAGGGUGAAGCCAGAGGAAACUCUGGUGGAGGCUCGCAGCGGUUCUGA
rnacentral:rRNA from 1 species